UUUACAUAUGUCUCCGCCAUAUCAAGCUUAUUAACAACAUUGCAAACCUCGACUCCAGAAAAUUCGGAAAAUGUCCAAGAAAGACCACUUAUUACAUUCUUAAUCAGGUUUCUGGUGGAAACACUUAGUCAAAAACUCAACGCCUUGGCAAGGUUCUUAAACCUUAAAGUCAUGAUCAUUAGAUUUUUGACAUCUCUAUACACUAACGAAAAUUUAAUUCUUUUAAGAAGUUUAAUCGAAUAUGGAAUCCAUUUAGGAGAAGUUUCUUUGAAAUAUUUGCCCAGAAGUGUUGACGAUCCUAGUUUCUUGUGGGUAACUGCACUGACUGAGUUCAUUAGCACCAAUGUUGGGCCAGGUGGAAUAUUUUAUAAACCUCCAGAAGCAUCAACCACAGAGAGUUUGGCUGCUUCCUCUUCAGAAGAUAAAGAAAUGAUCACCAAUCCACCAGUUAUAUUUAAUUUUCCGUCGCAUGAAAGUUCUGAUGAAAACAUAACUAGGAAUGAGAGGAAUGUUAUUCAGGAGAACCAGCUAACUAAAUCAACAACCCAAGAAUCUUUAAAAGCAUACAAGGAUAAUAUGGUUUCACUAGAUAAGCUGUUAAAUGCUAGAAGAAGACGUUAAUCGAACAGAAAAUAAUGUUAUUUUAUUUACUAAAAUGGUUUUAAAGCAAUA